AACUCCUCCUCAACAUUGCUUGUCGCUGUCACAUUUGGAUCUUUUCCAUUUCCUGCUCUUAUCUGCAGUACCUGGCGUAGUAGCUGACACAGCAGAUGCUGAAUAGGUAUUUCUUGAAUGAAUGAAAAGAAAUAACAUGACUCCCUUUUUAGAACUGCUAAAGAAGGUACCACCUUCUGGAGAGCAUUGGACUUGUUGAGGUUGGAAAGCGUGCUUCUCAAGUGCUUGCAUCACCUGAAGAUGUCAGAUGAUAAAGAGCUACUGCCCUUUGUAGGGGUUGUAACCAUUUCCUCUCAAGUUGAGCCCAUGCUUAUGAUUCUCCUUGCUGACCCUUUCUUUACGGAAAGGGCAGACACUUAGCUUUCUUGUGGUCUUUGUCUGAACGACCCCAGACACCGAUGGGGCCAGAGGCAGCCUCACUCCGAGCCUGAUGCAGAAGUCGGGCACAUCAGGUUUCAGCGGCCGCCAGUGCCAAAGAAAACACAUUCUUUGAAGAGAAGGGUAAUUGCUGAAGGCUUUGUCUAAUGUUAAGGCAGAGGGGAUGGACCAUUUGAACUGGUAUCAUUUGAACAUGAUAAUAUAUGGUUUAGGACUCAAUAAAAGGGUAUAAUUCUAUUCAGGGAUUCCACUGAGCUCAUAAACCACGGGAGUGUGGCUCGUCAGCAGAAUGUAGAGAUUGGGUUACCACGGAGCUCGUCAACAGGGACCACUCAGGGCUGUUGAUCACUCAUGAGAAAGAAUUAUCACAGGGCUCCUCUGGACUGCAUCUUAGAAAGAUUUGUGCCCAGAUAAUUCCAUUAAACUGUGUGUCUGUGGUCCCAAAGUAUACCAAGGAUCACAGUGGAACAAACAGUUUCAUUGCAUGGGACACGGAUUUGCAACGUGUGCUCAGCAGCCGGUGAGAGCCUCCCAUUCGGAGAGAGAAAUGGAUGCUUUGGUGCCCGGCCAUUCUGCCAGAGAACCGAAGGUCACUGCAGUUUGAUUUUUACAGACUCUGUACCACUCUUGCACUCCGAGGUGCAAGGUUGGCCAGCGCAGCGAGGUCAUUUUCGGGGGUUCUUUGCACAUGUUUCUUGGACCAGCGGAGCAAAGGAACAGGAGAAAUACGAAGGACAUUCACAGUGAACCUUAAAAAUGUCUUGGUUAAUUCUUAACUUAGUUAACUCCUUUGCCCUCUUGGGUUAGGUAGGCAAGUUAUAUUGUUAAAUUUCCACUAAGUAGUAUUCUUACUAUGCACUGACAGUGGAGAA